AAGAACGCUGGCGGCGUGCCUAAGCCAUGCAAGUCGAACGGGUUGUUCGCAAGACAAUCAGUGGCGAACUGGUGAGUAAUACGUGGGUAAUCUGCCCGAGAGUGGGGAAUAGCCCUUCCAACGAGGGGGUAACACCGCAUAUUAUCGCGAAUCCGCAUGGAUUUGCGAUGAAAACAGGGGAUCGCAAGACCUUGUGCUCUCGGAUGAACCCGCGCCCCAUUAGCUAGUUGGUGAGGUAACGGCUCACCAAGGCGACGAUGGGUAGCCGGCCUGAGAGGGUGACCGGCCACACUGGGACUGAGAUACGGCCCAGACUCCUACGGGAGGCAGCAGGCGGGAAUUAUUGGGCAAUGGACGAAAGUCUGACCCAGCGACGCCGCGUGAGGGAUGAAGCUUCUCGGAGCGUAAACCUCAAACGGAUAGGGACGAAAAGCCUAUCGGCUAAUAUCCGGUAGGCCUGACGGUACCUGUUUACGAAGCCUCCCGGCUAACUCCGUG
rnacentral:rRNA from 1 species